rnacentral:rRNA from 1 species
AGUGAACGCUGGCGGUAGGCCUAACACAUGCAAGUCGAACGGCAGCACAGGAGAGCUUGCUCUCUGGGUGGCGAGUGGCGGACGGGUGAGGAAUACAUCGGAAUCUACUCUGUCGUGGGGGAUAACGUAGGGAAACUUACGCUAAUACCGCAUACGACCUACGGGUGAAAGCAGGGGAUCUUCGGACCUUGCGCGAUUGAAUGAGCCGAUGUCGGAUUAGCUAGUUGGCGGGGUAAAGGCCCACAAAGGCGACGAUCCGUAGCUGGUCUGGACGGAUGAUCAGCCACACUGGAACGGAGACACGGUCCAGACUCCUACGGGAGGCAGCAGUGGGGAAUAUUGGACAAUGGGCGCAAGCCUGAUCCAGCCAUACCGCGUGGGUGAAGAAGGCCUUCGGGUUGUAAAGCCCUUUUGUUGGGAAAGAAAUCCAGCUGGCUAAUACCCGGUUGGGAUGACGGUACCCAAAGAAUAAGCACCGGCUAACUUCGUGCCAGCAGCCGCAGUAA